rnacentral:rRNA from 1 species
UAUAAUCUACCUCUAACUGAGGGAUAGCCUAGAGAAAUCUGGAUUAAUACCUCAUAGUAUCAUUUAAAGGCAUCUUUUUAUGAUUAAAACUCCGGUGGUUAGAGAUGAGUAUGCGUUCUAUUAGUUUGUUGGUAAGGUAACGGCUUACCAAGACUACGGAUAGAUAGGGGGCCUGAGAGGGUGAUCCCCCACACUGGUACUGAGACACGGACCAGACUCCUACGGGAGGCAGCAGUGAGGAAUAUUGCGCAAUGGAGGAAACUCUGACGCAGCCAUGCCGCGUGUAGGAAGAAUGUCCUAUGGAUUGUAAACUACUUUUAUACAAGAAGAAACUUUAGUACGUGUACUAAACUGACGGUACUGUAGAAUAAGCACCGGCU